GACGUAAAACCGGAAGGGACUUGACGGCGAACCGGGAGUAGUUUAUGUUGCCGCAAGCUGACGCAAGCUAGUUAAAUUAAUCUUAAAACCACUUCAUACUGACGCUGUACUGUUGAGUACUGCCCAAUGUGGGAGGAAACCCCCAGGGUGACCCAGAACUUGUGAAUGUUGCAUCCCCUUCUGGCCCGGGAACAUCCUGGGAUCCUCCAGGAGGAACUGAAGACUGUCACUGGGGGACGAGGAUGUCUGGGUCUCACCCCUUGAAAUGUUAUUUCUGCAUUGCCUUCAGGUGAACACAGACGGAUGGAUUUACAAAAAAGCCGCGCGGAGAUAAAUGAGCCAGAUGUCUUCAAAGGGACGAUGUGCUUCAUCUACAGAAGCAAGACGCCCAACCUGGACAAGAUGGCCGCUGACCUGCUGGCUGCAGCUGACUGGGUGGAGAAUGUGUGUACUUACACCUGUUGCACUGUAGAAAUCCUGCACUGAUCAGCCAUGAUGUUGAACUUCUUGUCUGCUAUUAAAAGCAGACUUUCAAACUUUUAAAUCA